UAGGGAAUCUUCGGCAAUGGGGGGAACCCUGACCGAGCAACGCCGCGGGAGUGAAGAAGGUUUUCGGAUCGUAAAGCUCUGUUGUUAAGGAAGAACGAGUGUGAGAAUGGAAAGUUCAUACUGUGACGGUACUUAACCAGAAAGGGACGGCUAACUACGUGCCAGCAGCCGCGGUAAUACGUAGGUCCCGAGCGUUGUCCGGAUUUAUUGGGCGUAAAGCGAGCGCAGGCGGUUAGAUAAGUCUGAAGUUAACGGCAGUGGCUCAACCAUUGUAGGCUUUCGAAGCUGUUUGACUUGAGUGCAGAAGGGGAGAGUGGAAUUCCAUGUGUAGCGGUAAGAUGCGUAGAUAUAUGGAGGAACACCGGUGGCGAAGGCGGCUCUCUGGUCUGUAACUGACGCUGAGGCUCGAAAGCGUGGGGAGCGAACAGG
rnacentral:rRNA from 1 species